rnacentral:rRNA from 1 species
CACGUAGGGCGCGAGCGUUGUCCGGAAUUAUUGGGCGUAAAGAGCUCGUAGGCGGCCUGUUGCGUCCGCUGUGAAAGCCCGGGGCUUAACCCCGGGUCUGCAGUGGAUACGGGCAGGCUAGAGGUAGGUAGGGGAGAAUGGAAUUCCCGGUGUAGCGGUGAAAUGCGUAGAUAUCGUAAGGAAGACCAGUGGCGAAGGCGAGUCUCUGGACAGCAACUGACGCUGAGGCACGAAGGCCAGGGGAGCAAACGGG